GAUGAACGCUGGCGGCGUGCCUAAUACAUGCAAGUCGAGCGAACGGACGAGAAGCUUGCUUCUCUGAUGUUAGCGGCGGACGGGUGAGUAACACGUGGAUAACCUACCUAUAAGACUGGGAUAACUUCGGGAAACCGGAGCUAAUACCGGAUAAUAUUUUGAACCGCAUGGUUCAAAAGUGAAAGACGGUCUUGCUGUCACUUAUAGAUGGAUCCGCGCUGCAUUAGCUAGUUGGUAAGGUAACGGCUUACCAAGGCAACGAUGCAUAGCCGACCUGAGAGGGUGAUCGCCCACCCUGGAACUGAGACACGGUCCAGACUCCUACGGGAGGCAGCAGUAGGGAAUCUUCCGCAAUGGGCGAAAGCCUGACGGAGCAACGCCGCGUGAGUGAUGAAGGUCUUCGGAUCGUAAAACUCUGUUAUUAGGGAAGAACAUAUGUGUAAGUAACUGUGCACAUCUUGACGGUACCUAAUCAGAAAGCCACGGCUAACUACGUG
rnacentral:rRNA from 1 species